CAUGCAGUCUGGCGUCAACGGACAGUUUUGACACCCGUAUACCCGUAUUUCUACGAAAUACCUCUGAAACCUUUGUUGUGUUCAUCACACAGAUGAUGGACCACUCUACUUCCUUUUACAACAGGUGCCCCUACAGAUUCACAAAGUUCCAGUGUUGAGUUUCCAUGACCCCUAUUCAUCCAUGACAGGAAAAGGAAUAGAGUUGACAGGACUUCCCGCACUGUCCCUGGUAGCAGUUUAUGAGGGAACCAACCGCAGUAGACAUAGCACGCUUCAUCAAAGAUGCACCAGAUGCAGCGGCACUGUCUCCAUCACUGGUGAAAUGGGAUAUUACUAGUGGCCGGUCAUCACUCUGUAACUCACCAACACAAUUAGCGGCCCAUCUCUUCUUGUCUCCAAUGGUGGUCUCCGGAGGAAUGGUUGCAGUGCAGUCUUCAUGUCCUGGGCAGGUAACCUCUUUUCCUUUGCUUCGUAGGUCUGUUGCAUGUUGGCGGCUGACGCUGGUUCAAUAUUUGCACCAAGAAGCAUACCACGCAUACCCUCUGUUGUAAGACUGGUACCCAGGUGACCGACAGCCAUGGCCACAUUCAGCUGUGCAGCUCUUCGUCCCCUUCCAGAUCUUCUCACCUCUUCGUACAGCUUUUCUCGGUGACUGGUAUAGUGGCACUUCUUACAUCG